UUCAGCUGUGGGGUCACAGAAGGCAGGGCUCAGGGAUGGUCUCCACCAUGUUCUGGUCCCCUGUCCUGCUCACCCUCCUGGCUCACUGCACAGGGUCUUGGGCCCAGGCUGUGCUGACUCAGCCGCCCUCAGUGUCUGGGAACCCAGGACAGAGUGUCACCAUCUCCUGCACUGGAAGCAGCUCCAACAUCGGGGAUGGUUAUAGUGUGCAAUGGCACCAACAGUUCCCAGGGAAACCCCCUAAAAACAUCAUCUAUAGUACCAGCAGCAGACCCUCGGGGAUCCCCGAACGAUUCUCUGGAUCCAGGUCUGGCAGCAUCGGCACCCUGACCAUCUCUGGGCUCCAGGCUGAGGACGAGGCCGAUUAUUACUGCUCAGCAUGGGACAAGAGUAUCAGUGCUCCCACAGUGCUGCAGGGCUGUGGGGAAGUGAGACAAAAACCUGCUGUCCCCUGCAGUGUGCUUCCCUGGUGCAGUCCCCACUGUUCUGAGAAGACAGCUGCUUUCUCAGUUUGCUUGGCCUGAACUCAAGUCUGAGACCCACCACAGGGGACUGUGAUGGGAACAUCUGUCCAUCCUUUGAACGCUGCCUCUGAGGCCAGUCUGUGCCAACAACACAGUGUGUAGUUUUCUCAAUGAGGGGAACUUCCUGUGUGUCAGGGGGAGGCUGUGCUGGGAACAGAGUCUGUGAUGAGCAAGGAACAACCAGAGACAUGGGACCCGGCUGUGUCCCCAUCAGUGCACGUCAGGAAGGCCCCAUGUGUGUGCUGUCACCAACAUGUCCCCACUCAGCUUCUCCUCUCUACAUCGCUUUGAUGUCAUCCACCCUGUGUGGCCCACAAUCCAUUCCUGGGAUCAGGUUGGCAGCUCAGGCUCCUGGACCUUCACUGGGCUCAGAGCUGAGGACAAGGCUGCCUCACACAGAGCUGCAGGCCUGUGGGGCCUGAGACCAGGAGAAGCUCCUUCUCAUCAGCUGGGAGGGCACGUUCCAGUAUCUGCCACUCAGAACACCUGUGGCUUCUGCUUCUGCCGCCACCCGGGGCCAGGUUCCUCCAGGGCAGCCCCUGGGGAGUGGAUGUGCCUCCUCCACCUGCUGCCCUCACAGCACCUCACUGCAGCCCCUUCCUAGACAGCAGGUCUCCAAACAAACAGAAGUCAGCUCCCCAUCAGCUGGGGACACAGAGUGGCUCUGCCCUGAAGCCCAGGGGCUGAAAUGGGGGUACCAUCUCUGGUCAUUUCAGACACUAACUCUAAAGUCACUGUGAGCCUUGGGUCUUUGUCAUUGACCACUGACCUCUUUCCUCGAUGUUCCAGAGCUGCCGUCCUCUCUGUUGUCCCUCACUGUGAACCCCUGUCCCUGUAGCUCCCAGAGAGAGGCCCCUGUCCUGGCUGACCUGGCCCCACAGCUCCUCAGACUGUGGCGGACCUUUGGGGCCGGGGAGUGACCCCGUGUCUGUUCCCAUCAGUGCUACGAUCCGACCAUGGAUUCCUUCUUGUUUACGUGCAUUUUCAUACUUGCCGUGUGACGCUGAAUGACAACGCAGGUGAGGUCACACUGGCCAGCUCUCGAUCUGUGUGGGAGUGUCGUCCUCCCGCCUCAGUAGCUGAGAGCUGAGUGUGGGCUCAGGCGUGUGUGUGAGGAGGGAGUGUGAGUGCCCGCACUGCAGAUGUGCCUGCAGUUUACACUGUGCGUGUUUUCAUGAGAAAUUUAUUUAUACUUUGUUCAAAGGCUUCUUCUGAAUCUAUUGAGGUGUUUUGAUUUUAUCCUUUGGUCUCUUAAAAUGAUGUGCUCUGUGAAAGGGCUGCCAGUAUGCAACUCGACUUGCAUCUGGAACAAAUCAGCUGUGGUGAAGGUGUGUCUAUUUACUAGUCUGAUUUUGGAAUCUCUGUGUUAAUAU